rnacentral:rRNA from 1 species
CUCUUCGGGGAUGAUUAAACCGGCGCACGGGUGAGUAACACGUGAGUGACCUGCCUUUUAGACUGGAACAACUUACCGAAAGGUGAGCUAAUGCCGGAUGAGUUAUAUAAGUGCAUGUUUAUAUAGGAAAAGUUGGGGAGACCUGACGCUGAAAGAUGGACUCGCGUCCCAUUAGCUAGUUGGUAGGGUAAUGGCCUACCAAGGCGACGAUGGGUAGCCGGCCUGAGAGGGUGGCCGGCCACACUGGGACUGAGACACGGCCCAGACUCCUACGGGAGGCAGCAGUGGGGAAUUUUGCGCAAUGCUCGUAAGAGUGACGCAGCGACGCCGCGUGAAUGACGAAGGCCUUCGGGUCGUAAAGUUCUUUCGACAGGGAAGAAAAUGCCUAUAAGUAACUGUGUAUGUAUUGACGGUACCUGUAUAAGCAGCCCCGGCUAACUCCGUGCCAGCAGCCGCGGUAAUACGGAGGGGGCGAGCGUUGUUCGGAGUGACUGGGCGUAAAGAGCACGUAGGCGGUGUUGUAAGUCAUUAGUCAAAGACUAGAGCUCAACUUUAGUAAGGCUAGUGAUACUAUAAUACUAGAGUAUCAGAGAGGAUUGCAGAAUUCCUGGUGUAGCGGUGAAAUGCGUAGAUAUCAGGAGGAAUACCGUUAGCGAAGGCGGCAAUCUGGCUGGAAACUGACGCUGAGGUGCGAAAGCGUGGGUAGCAAACAGGAUUAGAUACCCUGGUAGUCCACGCUGUAAACGAUGGAUGCUAGGUGUUGGGCUUUUAAGU